rnacentral:lncRNA from 1 species
AGUUUUUAAUGGAAGCCUAUUUAUUUUUUUUUAGAAUUAUUAUUUUAUUAUUUUUUCAGAAAAGGUAAACAGAACCGAAGAUCGCUUACGUUUCCACACGGACCCGUUUUAGUGACGUACCCAUCUGCCGUCAGCUUCUGUAAGUUUGGUGACUUGUUUUAAUCGUGUUCUGUUCAUUUACCUGCUUCCUAAACAUAGGUGAACUCUUCUAAUGUCUACCAUAGAGACUUGCUGUAAGCUGUACACAGACGUCUUUUCUGAAUGGAGAAGAUGGAGGAUUAUCCACUCUACUGCAUCAAAUGAUUCCAGCAUUACUGAUCUGCACCCUGGAAUAUCCUGGAAUAAUCACUUGUGCAGUUUUGAUGACAUCUCUUGA